rnacentral:rRNA from 1 species
UGCGUAACGCGUGGGAAUCUGCCUUUAGGUUCGGGAUAACAGUUAGAAAUGACUGCUAAUACCGGAUGAUGUCUUCGGACCAAAGAUUUAUCGCCUUUAGAUGGGCCCGCGUUGGAUUAGCUAGUUGGUGGGGUAAAGGCCUACCAAGGCGACGAUCCAUAGCUGGUCUGAGAGGAUGAUCAGCCACACUGGGACUGAGACACGGCCCAGACUCCUACGGGAGGCAGCAGUGGGGAAUAUUGGACAAUGGGCGCAAGCCUGAUCCAGCA